rnacentral:rRNA from 1 species
GGUGACCUGCCCAAAUGGGGACAACUCCGGGAAACUGGAGCUAAUACCCCAUGUGAUCAUGUGAUUUAGAAACAUAUGAUUAAAGGAUUUAUUCGCUUUGGGAGGGGCCUGCGUCCCAUCAGCUAGUUGGUAGGGUAAUGGCCUACCAAGGCUACGACGGGUAGGGGGCCUGAGAGGGUGGCCCCCCACAAUGGAACUGAAACACGGUCCAU